rnacentral:rRNA from 1 species
CUUUAGCUCACCAAGUAUUAAAGGUCUUGCCUGCCCAGUGAAACAUUUUAAACGGCCGCGGUAUCCUAACCGUGCAAAGGUAGCGUAAUCACUUGUCUUUUAAAUAAAGACUAGUAUGAACGGCUAAAUGAGGAUAAACCUGUCUCUUAUAAUUAACCAGUGAAACUGAUCUUCAAGUUCAAAAGCUUGAAUAAACACAUAAGACGAGAAGACCCUGUGGAGCUUUAAACCAACCCUAUAGCCUCUAAGCCCAUAUGGGGCCAGUUUUAAGUUGGGGCGACUUCGGAACAAAACAAAACUUCCGAGCACAGAGCCAACCACUCCCCCUCAGACUUACAAGUCAAAGGAAGACACCGACCCAGUACCACUGACCAACGAACCAAGUUACCCCAGGGAUAACAGCGCCAUCUUCUUCAAGAGUCCCUAUCGACAAGAAGGUUUACGACCUCGAUGUUGGAUCAGGACACCCAAAUGGUGCAGCAGCUAUUAAAGGUUCGUUUGUUCAACGAUUAACAGUCCUACGUGAUCUGAGUUCAGACCGGAGUAAUCCAGGUCGGUUUCU